AGAGUUUGAUCCUGGCUCAGAGUGAACGCUGGCGGUAGGCCUAACACAUGCAAGUCGAACGGCAGCACAGAGGAGCUUGCUCCUUGGGUGGCGAGUGGCGGACGGGUGAGGAAUACAUCGGAAUCUACUCUGUCGUGGGGGAUAACGUAGGGAAACUUACGCUAAUACCGCAUACGACCUACGGGUGAAAGCAGGGGAUCUUCGGACCUUGCGCGAUUGAAUGAGCCGAUGUCGGAUUAGCUAGUUGGCGGGGUAAAGGCCCACCAAGGCGACGAUCCGUAGCUGGUCUGAGAGGAUGAUCAGCCACACUGGAACUGAGACACGGUCCAGACUCCUACGGGAGGCAACAGUGGGGAAUAUUGGACAAUGGUCGCAAGCCUGAUCCAGCCAUACCGCGUGGGUGAAGAAGGCCUUCGGGUUGUAAAGCCCUUUUGUUGGGAAAGAAAUCCAGCUGGCUAAUACCCGGUUGGGAUGACGGUACCCAAAGAAUAAGCACCGGCUAACUUCGUGCCAGCAGCCGCGGUAAUACGAAGGGUGCAAGCGUUACUCGGAAUUACUGGGCGUAAAGCGUGCGUAGGUGGUCGUUUAAGUCCGUUGUGAAAGCCCUGGGCUCAACCUGGGAACUGCAGUGGAUACUGGACGACUAGAGUGUGGUAGAGGGUAGCGGAAUUCCUGGUGUAGCAGUGAAAUGCG
rnacentral:rRNA from 1 species